rnacentral:rRNA from 1 species
UACGUAGGGUGCGAGCGUUAAUCGGAAUUACUGGGCGUAAAGCGUGCGCAGGCGGUUUGUUAGGUCAGGUGUGAAAGCCCCGAGCUUAACUUGGGAACUGCGUUUGAGACUGGCAAGCUAGAGUCUGUCAGAGGGGGGUAGAAUUCCACGUGUAGCAGUGAAAUGCGUAGAGAUGUGGAGGAAUACCAAUGGCGAAGGCAGCCCCCUGGGAUAAGACUGACGCUCAUGCACGAAAGCGUGGGGAGCAAACAGGAUUAGAUACCCUGGUAGUCCACGCCCUAAACGAUGUCAACUGGUUGUUGGGCAACUUGAUUGUUCAGUAACGAAGCUAACGCGAGAAGUUGACCGCCUGGGGAGUACGGUCGCAAGAUUAAAACUCAAAGGAAUUGACGGGGACCCGCACAAGCGGUGGAUGAUGUGGAUUAAUUCGAUGCAACGCGAAAAACCUUACCUACCCUUGACAUGUACGGAAGUCUGCUGAGAGGUGGAUGUGCCUGAAAGGGAACCGUAACACAGGUGCUGCAUGGCUGUCGUCAGCUCGUGUCGUGAGAUGUUGGGUUAAGUCCCGCAACGAGCGCAACCCUUGCUAUUAAUUGCCAUCAUUGAGUUGGGCACUUUAAUAGGACUGCUGGUGAUAAACCGGAGGAAGGUGGGGAUGACGUCAAGUCCUCAUGGCCCUUAUGGGUAGGGCUUCACACGUCAUACAAUGGCCGGUACAGAGGGAUGCCAACCCGCGAGGGGGAGCCAAUCUCAGAAAGCCGGUCGUAGUCCGGAUUGUUCUCUGCAACUCGAGAGCAUGAAGUCGGAAUCGCUAGUAAUCGCGGAUCAGCAUGUCGCGGUGAAUACGUUCCCGGGGUCU